rnacentral:rRNA from 1 species
GUGGGGAAUAUUGCACAAUGGGCGCAAGCCUGAUGCAGCCAUGCCGCGUGUGUGAAGAAGGCCUUCGGGUUGUAAAGCACUUUCAGCGAGGAGGAAGGGUAGUGUGUUAAUAGCACAUUGCAUUGACGUUACUCGCAGAAGAAGCACCGGCUAACUCCGUGCCAGCAGCCGCGGUAAUACGGAGGGUGCAAGCGUUAAUCGGAAUUACUGGGCGUAAAGCGCACGCAGGCGGUUUGUUAAGUCAGAUGUGAAAUCCCCGCGCUUAACGUGGGAACUGCAUUUGAAACUGGCAAGCUAGAGUCUUGUAGAGGGGGGUAGAAUUCCAGGUGUAGCGGUGAAAUGCGUAGAGAUCUGGAGGAAUACCGGUGGCGAAGGCGGCCCCCCUGGACAAAGACUGACG